GACGAACGCUGGCGGCGUGCUUAACACAUGCAAGUCGAACGGUGAUGACAGGGCUUGCCUUGUCUGAUCAGUGGCGAACGGGUGGGUAACACGUGAGUAACCUGCCCCAGACUCUGGGAUAACCCCGGGAAACCGGAGCUAAUACCGGAUAGGACCCUUGCACGCAUGUGCUGGGGGUGGAAAGUUUUUCGGUCUGGGAUGGGCUCGCGGCCUAUCGGCUUGUUGGUGAGGUAGUGGCUCACCAAGGCGACGACGGGUAGCCGGCCUGAGAGGGCGACCGGCCACACUGGGACUGAGACACGGCCCAGACUCCUACGGGAGGCAGCAGUGGGGAAUAUUGGACAAUGGGGGCAACCCUGAUCCAGCCAUGCCGCGUGAGUGAUGAAGGCCCUAGGGUUGUAAAGCUCUUUUAGCAGGGAAGAUAAUGACGGUACCUGCAGAAAAAGCCCCGGCUAACUUCGUGCCAGCCGCCGCCGUAACAC
rnacentral:rRNA from 1 species